rnacentral:rRNA from 1 species
GACGAACGCUGGCGGCGUGCUUAACACAUGCCAGUCGAACGGAAAGGCCCUGCUUUUGUGGGGUGCUCGAGUGGCGAACGGGUGAGUAACACGUGAGUAACCUGCCCUUGACUUUGGGAUAACUUCAGGAAACUGGGGCUAAUACCGGAUAGGAGCUCCUGCUGCAUGGUGGGGGUUGGAAAGUUUCGGCGGUUGGGGAUGGACUCGCGGCUUAUCAGCUUGUUGGUGGGGUAGUGGCUUACCAAGGCUUUGACGGGUAGCCGGCCUGAGAGGGUGACCGGCCACAUUGGGACUGAGAUACGGCCCAGACUCCUACGGGAGGCAGCAGUGGGGAAUAUUGCACAAUGGGCGGAAGCCUGAUGCAGCAACGCCGCGUGCGGGAUGACGGCCUUCGGGUUGUAAACCGCUUUCACCUGUGACGAAGCGUGAGUGACGGUAAUGAGUAAAGAAGCACCGGCUAACUACGUG